GACGAACGCUGGCGGCGUGCUUAACACAUGCAAGUCGAACGGAAAGGCCCUGCUUUUGUGGGGUGCUCGAGUGGCGAACGGGUGAGUAACACGUGAGUAACCUGCCACUGACCUUGGGAUAACCUCAGGACACUGGGGCUAAUACCGGAUAGGAGCUCCUGCUUCAUGGUGGGGCUUGGUAAGUUUCGUCGGUUGGGGAUGGACUGGCGGCUUAUCAGCUUGAUGGGUGGGUAGUGGCUUACCAAGGCUUGGACGGGUAGCCGAGCUGGGAGGGGGAGCGGCCCCGCUAGACUGGAGCUGAGGCACAGCCUCCACCCGGAGGCAGCGCUGGGGAAGAUAGUACAGUGGGCGGGGGGCUGGCGUGGUCCAGCCAUGUCGCGGAAGAGAUCAUUCGGGUUGUGUACCACUUUCGUCUGUCCCGAAGCGUGAGUGACGGUACUGGGUGAAGAAGCACCGGCUAACUACGUG
rnacentral:rRNA from 1 species